AAGAUGUCAACACUCGUUGGUUUAGUUAGAGCGUGACGUAACAACAGAAGUUAGGCUCGUCUGCUGCGUCCUCCUUCCCCCGACUACAAGAACAAAUACCAAGGACAAUUAACACGAGGCAUUACCAGUAACACAAGAUGUCUGCAUCUCGCUAGAUCUAGCUUCUCUCUGAUACCAUUACAGCGGCCAUAGUUAACUCGGCCACUGGUCACCUGGUUACAUCGAAAGGUUCUUCAUACUUGUUUCACACUUAUUUCAGUUACAUACAGAACCAUUUCAAUGGAAGCUGGUUAGUGACUCGUAGCUUGAGCUCGGAGAGAACAUUGUCCAUGCACACUGGCUUCUCUCUGCUGCCAUUUCACUGGCCAUAGUAUCUACUCCAUUACAAAGUGGCCAAACAUCUAUACAGAUCUCUGCUCCAGUAACUGUCUGUGGUGUUUCAGAUCUCUGCUCCAGUAACGCUGUGGUGUUUCAGAUCUCUGCUCCAGUAACUGUCUGUGGUGUUUCAGAUCUCUGCUCCAGUAACUGUCUGUGGUGUUUCAGAUCUCUGCUCCAGUAACUGUCUGUGGUGUUUCAGAUCUCUGCUCCAGUAACUGUCUGUGGUGUUUCAGAUCUCUGCUCCAGUAACUGUUUGUGGUGUUUCAGAUCUCUGCUCCAGUAACUGUCUGUGGUGUUUCAGAUCUCUGCUCCAGUAACUGUCUGUGGUGUUUCAGAUCUCUGCUCCAGUAACUGUCUGUGGUGUUUCAGAUCUCUGCUCCAGUAACUGUCUGUGGUGUUUCAGAUCUCUGCUCCAGUAACUGUCUGUGGUGUUUCAGAUCUCUGCUCCAGUAACUGUCUGUGGUGUUUCAGAUCUCUGCUCCAGUAACUGUCUGUGGUGUUUCAGAUCUCUGCUCCAGUAACUGUCUGUGGUGUUUCAGAUCUCUGCUCCAGUAAUUGUCUGUGGUGUUUCAGAUCUCUGCUCCAGUAACUGUCUGUGGUGUUUCAGAUCUCUGCUCCAGUAACUGUCUGUGGUGUUUCAGAUCUCUGCUCCAGUAACUGUCUGUGGUAACUGCUGACAUCUAUCACACUUAUUGCCAAGUCACCCAGUCUAAUGCCAAGACACCCAGUCUAAUGCCAAGACACCCAGUCUAAUGCCAAGGCACCCAGUCUAAUGCCAAGGCACCCAGUCUAAUGCCAAGGCACCCAGUCUAAUGCCAAGGCACCCAGUCUAAUGCCAAGGCACCCAGGUUGAGAUGCCAAGUCACCCAGGUUGAGAUGCCAAGUCACCCAGGUUGAGAUGCCAAGUCACCCAGGUUGAGAUGCCAAGUCACCCAGGUUGAGAUGCCAAGUCACCCAGGUUGAGAUGCCAAGUCACCCAGUCUAAUGCCAAGGCACCCAGGUUGAGAUGCCAAGUCACCCAGUCUAAUGCCAAGUCACCCAGGUUGAGAUGCCAAGUCACCCAGUCUAAUGCCAAGUCACCCAGGUUGAGAUGCCAAGUCACCCAGUCUAAUGCCAAGGCACCCAGGUUGAGAUGCCAAGUCACCCAGGUUGAGAUGCCAAGUCACCCAGUCUAAUGCCAAGUCACCCAGUCUAAUGCCAAGUCACCCAGGUUGAGAUGCCAAGUCACCCAGGUUGAGAUGCCAAGUCACCCAGUCUAAUGCCAAGUCACCCAGGUUGAGAUGCCAAGUCACCCAGGUUGAGAUGCCAAGUCACCCAGUCUAAUGCCAAGUCACCCAGUCUAAUGCCAAGUCACCCAGGUUGAGAUGCCAAGUCACCCAGGUUGAGAUGCCAAGUCACCCAGUCUAAUGCCAAGUCACCCAGGUUGAGAUGCCAAGUCACCCAGGUUGAGAUGCCAAGUCACCCAGUCUAAUGCCAAGUCACCCAGGUUGAGAUGCCAAGUCACCCAGUCUAAUGCCAAGUCACCCAGUCUAAUGCCAAGUCACCCAGGUUGAGAUGCCAAGUCACCCAGGUUGAGAUGCCAAGACAAACAUUAUCCAUGUAGUUCCCUUUGAGUUGUCUUUACGUUUCCUCUUAGUUUGACCAACAGCACUUUCUAUCUAUUUACCGUUACAAUGCCAUCUGUACAACGUUACAGUGCCAUCUGUACAACGUUACAGUGCCAUCUGUACAACGUUACAGUGCCAUCUGUACAACGUUACAGUGCCAUCUGUACAACGUUACAAUGCCAUCUGUACAAUGUUACAAUGCCAUCUGUACAACGUUACAAUGCCAUCUGUACAAUGUUACAGUGCCAUCUGUACAACGUUACAGUGCCAUCUGUACAACGUUACAGUGCCAUCUGUACAACGUUACAGUGCCAUCUGUACAACGUUACAGUGCCAUCUGUACAACGUUACAGUGCCAUCUGUACAACGUUACAGUGCCAUCUGUACAAUGUUACAAUGCCAUCUGUACAACGUUACAAUGCCAUCUGUACAAUGUUACAGUGCCAUCUGUACAACGUUACAAUGCCAUCUGUACAACGUUACAGUGCCAUCUGUACAACGUUACAAUGCCAUCUGUACAACGUUACAAUGCCAUCUGUACAACGUUACAGUGCCUUUGGCCACAUAGGUCUACAUAACCUACUGGCUCAAUAUCUCGAAUGAGAGAGAGCCAGCCUGGUAGGCCAGAUUAAGGUUUAUAUAACAUUACAAUGCCAUAGGUUUAUAUAACAAUACAAUGCCAUAGGUUUAUAUAACAUUACAAUGCCAUAGAUUUAUAUAACAUUACAAUGCCAUAGGUUUAUAUAACAUUAAAAUGCCAUAGGUUUAUAUAACAUUACAAUGCCAUAGGUUUAUAUAACAUUACAAUGCCAUAGGUUUAUAUAACAUUACAAUGCCAUAGGCCAUAGGUUUAUAUAACAUUACAAUGCCAUAGGUUUAUAUAACAUUACAAUGCCAUAGGCCAUAGGUUUAUAUAACAUUACAAUGCCAUAGGUUUAUAUAACAUUACAAUGCCAUGGGCCAUAGAUUUAUAUAACAUUACAAUGCCAUAGGUUUAUAUAACAUUAAAAUGCCAUGGGCCAUAGAUUUAUAUAACAUUACAAUGCCAUAGGUUUAUAUGAACUCCAACAUUUGAUGUGCAGCUUUGUUUAGUGGUGUUGUUGGUAUCACAGUAUAUUCUGUGUUUAGUGGGGGUCGUUGGGAUCGCAGUAUAUUCUGUGUUUAGUGGGGGUCGUUGGGAUCACAGUAUAUUCUGUGUUUAAUGGGGUUGUUGGGAUCGCAGUAUAUUCUGUGUUUAGUGGGGGUUGUUGGGAUCACAGUAUAUUCUGUGUUUAGUGGGGGUUGUUGGGAUCGCAGUAUAUUCUGUGUUUAAUGGGGGUCGUUGGGAUUGCAGUAUAUUCUGUGUUUAGUGGGGGUCGUUGGGAUCACAGUAUAUUCUGUGUUUAGUGGGGGUCGUUGGGAUCGCAGUAUAUUCUGUGUUUAGUGGGGGUCGUUGGGAUCACAGUAUAUUCUGUGUUU